GAUGAACGCUGGCGGUCUGCUUAACACAUGCAAGUCGAACGAACUCUUCGGAGUGAGUGGCGGACGGGUGAGUAACGCGUGAGAAUAUACCCUUUGGUACGGAAUAGCCUCUGGAAACGGAGAGUAAUACCGUAUGAGCCCUUCGGGGGAAAGAUUUAUUGCCCACAGAUGAGCUCGCGUCUGAUUAGCUAGUUGGUAAGGUAAAAGCGUACCAAGGCGACGAUCAGUAGCUGGUCUGAGAGGAUGAGCAGCCACACUGGGACUGAGACACGGCCCAGACUCCUACGGGAGGCAGCAGUGGGAAUUUUCCGCAAUGGGCGAAAGCCUGACGGAGCAAGACCGCGUGGGGGAGGAAGGUUUUUGGAUCGUAAACCCCUUUGUCAAGGAGAAGCUCUGACGGUACUUGACGAAUAAGCCUCGGCUAACUCCGUGCCAGCCGCCGCGGUAAUU
rnacentral:rRNA from 1 species